CUAUGCCACUGACUUUCACAGGAUAUUGCAUUUGGAAACUCUGUAACUCCACUUUCUUCAAGAGGAAAAAUGGAUUCCUAUUUACUACAGUAUUUUAUCCUUAGCUACAAUACUCAAAAUGUGAAAUUCAGGGUUGGGAGAUGGCUCAACUGUUGAAGAGCUUUUUGCACAUCAUGACAAUCUGAGUUCUCAUGACCAGGCUUGGGAUUCCUAUCUCCCACAGAGAAACUAGUUUUCUGUGCUGACUUCAAAAAGAACUUCCUGAUCACAGAGAGAGGCAGAUGUACACUGGUAUCAGAAUUAAACAAUGCAACACUGGCAUUUUCUUGAAAGCUCAAGUUAUUUUGUUGGCUGUAGCACUGAAAGAUUAGCAAAGAAUGGAGGAAGAAAGUUCUUUUCCUGUGUGUGAUGGUAAGUGUACCCUGGUUGAAAGCAACAGAGACCUCCAUAUUACUGUUCUUGACUCAAAACCUGUCAGUCCUGACUCAGAAACCUGCUAGUCUUCUGCUAUAAAAGUCUCUAUCAGCAGUUGUAAGUCAACUCUUGGCUUUGCCGUUGUGAGACCAAGCUUUACACUUUCCUCACGCAUGUUUCUUCCUGGAUACAAACUUGCUCUAGUCUAUGUAGGCUUCUAAUAGUAUGUUGGGGACAGUGAAUUGUAGUGGGUAGCACUACGUGGAGUGGCCUUGAUAAUUACACCAAUAGUGAAUUACAACGAAAAGAAAAUGCAACCCACCCAAAAAAUGAAUAAA